AAAAAAAGGUUAAAAAAUCAGAAAAAAAAGGUUAAAAAUUGGAAAAAAAAGGUUAAAAAAAUAAGAAAAAAGGUGAAAAUUUGAAAAAAAAAGAGGUUAAAAAUUGAAAAAAAAAGGUUAAAAAUUGGAAAAAAAAAGGAUAAAAAUCAGAAAAAAAGAGGUUAAAAAUUGGAUAAAAAAGGUUAAAAAUUU